UACGGAGGGAGCUAGCGUUGUUCGGAAUUACUGGGCGUAAAGCGCACGUAGGCGGCUUUGCAAGUUAGAGGUGAAAGCCUGGGGCUCAACUCCAGAACUGCCUUUAAAACUGCAUCGCUUGAAUCCAGGAGAGGUGAGUGGAAUUCCGAGUGUAGAGGUGAAAUUCGUAGAUAUUCGGAAGAACACCAGUGGCGAAGGCGACUUACUGGAUCAUGACUGACGCUGAGGCUCGAAAGCGUGGGGAGCAAACAGG
rnacentral:rRNA from 1 species